rnacentral:lncRNA from 10 species
GUCUAGAACACACCCAGAUAACCAGCCUCCCUGACUCCAAGGCCUGGGUCAUUAACCUCUUCACCAUACUCAGUAGCUGGGACAAGCUGUGAAAUGCCUAGAUUCCAGAGCAACAGACUGUGAUCCAUUCCCAACAACCCCUCCCUACCGUCUGCCACCAGUUCCCUUAAAGCAGGAAUCAGAGCUAGACUGACUCAACUAAGAAUUGUUUUGGAGAACUUGGAACUCAACAUUCCAUAAAGCAAGAAGCUUGACAUAGCAUCGAUGAGCCCAAGUCAACUAUAUGAACAAAACAAUGUCUCAGGAGGGGCAGGGUAUCACGUCAGAAGAAUCCUGAGUCCUUAGAUGACCUUGUAGAAAAGAGCCACAAACUUACUCUGGGCUACCUUCAUACCUCUGAACUAUUAUGCAGAGAGAAAUAAAUGUAUUCAAAUCACUGUUUUUUGGGUUUCUUCAUUCAUGUAGCUUAGCCUAUAACCUAAGUAA